UAGGUGACGCGUCAUGAGUCGCUGGCCACUGCAAGCCGCCGCGAAAAAGCAGUGAAAAGUGAAAUUUGAAAAAUCUAACAAUGGCGGCAGUCACUUGUAGCCGGCGCGGGAGCUGCCAUGGCGGCAUUGCCGGCGCGUUAUUGCGGUUGUUGGUGGAUUUGCGGACAGCUAGUGUGUGCUUAGAGUGUUUAUUGUGGCAUAAUAUUGCAUAAUAGUGAAGAUGUUGCAUGCAACUUCAGUGAAACAUAAGUCUCAAAUUUCAACUUAAGACAAAUGUCGGCGCAUAAUCACACGCACAUACUCUCAAAGCCAAGCAGCAAGUGGACAGCCGAGCGCUUAUACUACAUACAUACAUAUAUAAGCUGGUUGUGUGGACAACGAACGACUCCGCGGGUAACGGCAACUUAGUAGCGGCCAUGGUUACACAGCCGAGCCAAGCGAAUGAAGAUGAAGACGCUGCCGGCAAAAGGAAGUCCGCCGAAAUUAUUCCAGCAACGCUGACGUAUGGCGUGCAGACGAAUACAUACCAUGGCGGAGAAGAAAGUAAAAUUCCGGUAAGGCAACGCGCGAAGGAAAUGAGUAUGUGGUUGACGGCACGAGCAUGGAACGACGCAAUAACCCAGCGAUUGCUGGAGAAAAUUAACGAAAAAUACUUUGGCAACAAUAUAAAUGAAUAUACCCAGCAGCAGCAGCAAUAAUGAGCCCAGCACAGCAACAACUGCAUGGACAAAGCACAACAUGAUCUACAACAACAACAUAGUUAGCAACAACUACUAUCCGUCCGUCAAGCAAAUGAAUGGGAGACAAAGAAUAAUUGCAGUCGCCAUGAACUUCCCACCGAAGGCAGCCAUCAAGGCUAGGAUGCCUCAUAUCCUGCGCCCGAAUAUCUGCAUUAACGACAUGCAUGUGUUUAUACCGCUGCUUACAGUUAUGCCAAUCAAACUAACUGUCAAAAAUGUCAUUUGGAAGAAAAAGCAAAUCGUGGCAGUCUUUAAAGGUAGACUCACCUGGCAUUAAGAACAAACUGUAAAUUCUUAAUUACACAUGCGACACAAUGGAGAUAAAUGAAUACACUAAAGGAGGGGUGAGUUUUUGUCUUGAACAUCGACAAACAUGAAAAAGAAUACAAAGAACGCAAAUAAACGGUAGCUAAGGUAAUUAAAAACAAUGAGAGUUGUCUGCUGACCAUUAGACGAUGGAUAAGCAAAUGCACAAAGAGCAAAAGAUAAGAAAAAAGAAAAUUCUAUUUAGAAAAUAUGAAAAUGUAUGAAAUAAUAUGUAAAUAAAAAUGAAAUAUAAAUAAAAAUGCGA